rnacentral:rRNA from 1 species
CGGUAGCUAAUACCGCAUAAUGUCGCAAGACUAAAGAGGGGGACCUUCGGGCCUCUUGCCAUCGGAUGUGCCCAGAUGGGAUUAGCUAGUAGGUGGGGUAACGGCUCACCUAGGCGACGAUCCCUAGCUGGUCUGAGAGGAUGACCAGCCACACUGGAACUGAGACACGGUCCAGACUCCUACGGGAGGCAGCAGUGGGGAAUAUUGCACAAUGGGCGCAAGCCUGAUGCAGCCAUGCCGCGUGUAUGAAGAAGGCCUUCGGGUUGUAAAGUACUUUCAGCGGGGAGGAAGGGAGUAAAGUUAAUACCUUUACUCAUUGACGUUACCCGCAG